rnacentral:rRNA from 1 species
AUUGAACGCUGGCGGCAGGCCUAACACAUGCAAGUCGAACGAGUGGCGGACGGGUGAUUAAUGUCUGGGAAACUGCCUGAUGUAGGGGUUUAACUACUGGAAACGGUAGCUAAUUCCGCCUACCAUCGGAUGUGCCCAGAUGUGAUGAGCUAGUAGGUGGGGUAAAGGCUCACCUAGGCGACGAUCCCUAGCCGGUCUGAGAGGAUGACGGGCCAAACUGGAACUUAGGCACGGUCCAGACGCCUACGGGAGGCAGCAGUGGGGAAGAUGGCACAAUGGGAGCAAGCCGGAUGCAGCCAUGCAGCGUGGAUGAAGAAGGCCUGCGGGUUGUAAAGUACUUUCAGCGGGGAGGCGUUACCCGCAGAAGAAGCACCGGCUAACUCCGUGCCAGCAGCCGCGGUAAUAC